AAGCUAAAGAUAUUAAGUCUUAGGAUAUUAAUAAUCUAACCAUGAUCAAGAUUUUCAAUUUCUCUAAUUUUUCCAGACCGAUUGCAAUCUUGAGAAACAUUUCAAAACCAGCUGAGUGUAAAUGCAAGUGUCUUAAGUAUUUUGGAAUCUCCUUGAAAAUAUUCGGGCCCAAUUGUAUGGCAUUGAAAGGCAUUCUGACGCGGGGGCAACGUAUAUUAAUCCGGGAUUACUUUCAAACGUGCGACUAAUUUAAUUUUUCGUCUCCCCUCCUCGCGAUCUCUUUCGUGACCCUUCAGCCUGUUGUCAAUUGCAGGUCGACACCUUUGCCCCGUCGCGUGCGCCUAAUCGCUUUAGAAUUAACUGCACCCCUGCGUGCUUUUGUGGGGACCUUCGAUAUCUUGGGGACGAGGAUUCACUGAACGGGACUCGCUCCCGGUUUCCUUUUAAUUUGACGACCAAACGCAUGGCUUGACACGCAACAGUGUCUCUAAACCUUAUUUGAAAUUCUAAAGUACAAAUUGAGAUGCGAUCUCACGACCAGUUCCAAUUUGUUACCAGCAUAGAUCUAGGAAAAGAUACAAUAUAUUUGCAUUACCUAAGUACAUGCAAUAUAUUGACUAUUUUAUUCAUUCGUUGAUUAUUAUUAAGAAUUAUAAAAUUACUUUUUUAGAGGUAAACAAAAUAAGCAUUGCUAUAUACAUGUAAAGCUUUAAAAGUUACUAGUACUAAUAGUAACUGCUUUUGCACAGGAGGAGCAGGUUAAGUAAUAAAAUAAGAUGAACUUUAUAAAUCAUUUCCACAAACUGUAAAUCAUCUGAUUAUUCUACUUAAGCCAAGAUACCAAACAACAGAAUGAAAGAUCUAAAAUAGAAUUGCCAAUAAACUGUGAAAUAUAUUAAGGAUACCUUAGUUCAAGAGAAAUCUAAAAACGCGAAUAAAUACAAGAAAAUUGAUAACGUCGAUGAUCAUGUAAAUGUUAACCCAAAGCUAACAUAACCUAACAUUCGCAAAUGCCAUACAGGUGAACAGGAAUGUGAGAAACGGCGAAAAAGCGGCAGAUAGGCAUCGCGGCCAAGUCGAAAAUUGUGACGUUGCUCGGCAUUUGGUACAAUUUUUUCCAUGAAGUUAAUGUUAAUCAGUGGCGGACGUGACGUGGAUGGAGGGUGCUCGACUGGAUUUCAUGUCGGCCGCUGCCAGGCUUGUACAGCCUGUAUGCCAUAAACGUGCUGCCAUAAGUACUUUGGCAAUAUACAUCCCGGCAUCGGGACUCAUCCAUUACAACAGGCUAGCGCGUGAUCGUGCAACCACUCGUGGAGCACCGGCGCGCAACGCAGAAUCAUUUUGUACCGUUCAUUUCGGAACGACAAUCCACACCACCAGCGAGACUUUCCCAUAUUUUCGCCCGAUUCUUUUUCCGAAACGGACCCGCGAAAAAUGACGUUUUAUUGCCGCUAUGAAACACACACACGAAGGCCGAAGUGCUGUUCGAGUGGGCACCGAAUUUUCGACGGUCCAUGACGAUCCUCGAGGGCAGAGCUUUGCCGUUGCCAUUGUUGCAUGUUUUCAAAGUUCAUUCGCCUGUUGAUUGACAAAUUUUUGACUUGGUGGAGCGGCAGAGAUCGAACGAUCACUGUUGCGUGAUACAUGCUGGUUAUCUUCGAAGAAGAAAUUUUUCAAGUUUGUUUAUAUAGUGGAUUACCUUAUAUACACUAUAAAUUUAUAUAUAUAAUUAUACAUAAUUGAUUAUAAUCAUGUAGAAGGAUAACGAUAUAUCCUCUAGAGUAGGCGAUCUUUGUUCGUAACGAUUCUACAGGCAACAAGAGAUCGUUGCACAAUGAGACCCGCAUAAGAGGUAUUAGGAGUACGCGUGUACGCAUCGCUAUACACAACCAGUGGUUUUCAACAUGAUAUACGUAAACUCAGGAUUAACUCCUUUAUCCUUUACCAAUUCCAUAAUACCACUUCAACGAUCUACUGGGCAAAUGAAAAAAUAACGAAACAACUAACUCGGUAACUUCUGAUAAACGGAAGCGUUAUAUCUUUUAAACUGAUGAAAUCAUCAACAGAUCUCUGAAUAUCGACAACAUUUAGAAAAUAUAUUCUAAACGAAGAAUGCUGCAUUAUGGAAGGACAAUCUAUGCAAUUUGUUUUUGGAACGUAAUCAGGGUUACAUAUGUACUAAUUUAAUAUUACAAUUCGACUACUUAACGCCACGACAUAUGAGAAGGAUAAUGACAUUUAAAUUGCAACGAUUAGGAAGUUCCCCUGGAUGGCGCGUGAAGGACGAUGAAGGAAGGCGUGCCAUUAAAAGACGGACGGCCAUUAACAUCCGCAAAACGCUGUCAAUUGACCGUCCACAAAACAACUCUUUAACCUUUUCUUCGUGGACACCCCUCCCCGAGCUGUUCCCUUAUACCGGUGCUCCACGAUUCAAAAAUCGCGUGCGUUCUUUCACGCACGCUUUACUCAUGGGGGUCCCCAAGCAAAAUGCACACGCGCGUUCCACAUCUCGUCUAACUCCGGUCUCUUCCAUUCAUUCGCGUUAUGUAUAGUGUACAGUGCCAUGUAAGUAUAAUAAAUAAGAACGCUUGAGGACCCAUUGUGCCGAUUGUUUUCGAUGGCCUCGUCGAAAACGACGAGGCCUGUCGGCAGGGUGCACGCCACGGGGCACAUACACAUACACGCAUGUACUGACAAGUAUACCUAUAUACAUACAAGCGUGCAUGCGUAUAUACGUGCACGAUUUUUCUUUCUGUUUCUUCCUGUCUCUUUUCCUUCCUAACGAUUUCCUUGUUCAGGUCUUUUCUACAUACUUGUACUCUUACACGGUCCAAUCUUUUUCCUUUCUUUUCUACCUUCUUCCUUGCCCAUAUCCGCGAAAGUCUCUUAAAUACUCCUUCAUUGCUGUAAGGAGAAAACAAGAACUCAGCAGGAACCCUGAAUGCAACCACGAAAGCUGGAUACUCGGUCACAGUAAUACGACGUGUACGUGCUCACUGGCCGUGCUCGAGUACGUACUUGCAGCCUUUUCCUAGCUUGGUUUAAGACGGUAUUUCGAAGCGGACCACGAGCUUCCAGUCCAUCAAGCAACUGAUCCUGCCGCUAUGUGAUUCCGUAUAAUGCUCCUUCCUAAGUGUUCCUUCGUCGAUCCUUUUCCAUCGAUCCUCCGAAUGCAUGUAUCGAUCAGCUAAAGAUAAAAAACGCUCGGGCGACUUCGUGGACCUAGAUACGUAUUGUACUACAUAAAGAAUGCAAUCGACCAGUGAAAAACGAGGAGAAAAGGUGUAAAGCAAAAAAAGGCAUUUGUCAAAACCAUCGUCAGAUUUGCCUUAAAAUAAGAAGGAAAAAAACCAACAGGAUGCAAUGAAACUGAACAAACGGAUGGAAGUUUAAAGCAUAUAAGAGUACUAAGGAGACAGAAAAAGCGAAGGAGGAUCAGGUACUUCUGCAACGGCUGCUGCGUCGAAUAGAAGUAAUAUUAACAUAAGGCGACGAUAAAGAACAAGCGAGCAAGGGCGAAAGAAAGACUAUAUAUAAUUUAACGACGCUAAGCAAGGGAGGACGGUCAUUUUUUUCUUGCGCAGCGUGGCCGUAGCACGAUAUGGGUAUGUAUGUGUAUAAAUUGAGUAACCAGAAAAGUAUAUAUACAUGAAGAAACUGAGUUUCGAAAGAGAGGAAUAUAACUUGGAACAAAGAACGGAUAGAGAAUCUUCUUUCGUAUAACUUUUUAAUUAACCAAACAAUGCUCGUUAGCCGAGAUUAUGAUGAUAAUCUGUUGUGUACCACACUUCACCUCGUUACUCUGUUAUUCAUCGGGUAUAGAAGGAAGAAUACAACAUGCGGAAACAGCUAGCGGCCAAUCAGUUAAGUCGAGCAUUGUUUCGAACAAACGCGCGAGAGCAGAGGGUAGCCCCUAAUCCUUGCGGCCUAUCGAAAAUCCAUGAUCGAAAUAUAUCUACUCUGUCAAACGCAUGCGUACCUAGAUCGGUACCCUUUCGUCCGACAAGGAUUUUUACGGCUUUCAAUCCUGUCAGAAUGAAGGACGUGUCGCCUCUGGAUUUGCCAUCGAAAUCUUUGUUAUGUACUUUGCCAUAAAUCAGGAUGCGCUUCAAUCGAUGCGUUAUGAUCCGAUCAAAUUGCAGAAUAUAUUAAA